CUUUCUGUAACCGCUUGGCUUUUAGGGCAUGACACUUGUCUCCUGUUUGAACAAGAUACCUUCUCCUAAUAGCCGAGGCAUAGUCACGUAGACAGGGGGCUGCAUAGUCACGUAGACAGGAUGCCUUUCUGCUGAGUAAUAAGGUCAAACUUCCCCUCUUUGUUUCCCCUUCCCGCCUUUCUCUUCGCUCGCGGGGUCUAACAGGCCAGUUCUGCUU